GUUCUGGAGCAGUUGUUUCCACAGUUGGGACUUGUAUGGCUUGCCCAGGAGGAUGGGAAGAGUAAAGUCAGCUUAGGGACUUGAUGCGGGAUCUGAUCUUAUUCCAUAGCACUAUAGAACUUGCUGUGUAAUAUCCAGGUUGACCAGCACAAUUUGUUGAAGAUUAUUUUUUUCCCCAUGUGUAUUUCCGAAUUUGUCAAAAAUCAAGGAGCAUUUGUGCAGCUUGGAGGAUGGCAGAGAGGAAUAGAGGUGGCCUAGGAGAAAAGUCUGAGGGAGCUUCCUGAAUAGCUAAGGGGAUCCUGUCCACAUCUGGAGCGAAGACACCCUCCUGGUGCAGACAGAAAAGGCCUGUUUCAAGGGAGGGAUGACUAGUUCAAGGGCAGGAGGGUGACAUCAAGGACCAAUCUGUAGGCCAGAGGAUUCAGAAGACUAAAAAAGGCAAAACUAGGUAGCAGGGGUUACCUGCUCAGAGCAGAGACAGAUGGGAAAUUUCUGUCAUCAUUAAGGUUUUAUUGACCAGCGCGGCUGGAAUUUCCCAGAGAGAGGAAUUAAUCUCGCUACCGACUGAGAGCAGACAUCCUGCUGGGAGUAGUUACAUAAAUUCUGUUGCUCAAA
rnacentral:lncRNA from 1 species